rnacentral:rRNA from 1 species
GCCUAACGGCUGAACUGGCAACUUGGAGAAGUGGCAAGUCUUCCAGUAUGGGGAGCAAAACAGCUAUGGGUCAAGUCCGAUAUCUUUAGGAGAAGUCUUAUUGUGAGGGCGAGUUAUAUAACACCGUAGGACUGGCCGUCCCAUAUGAAAAGAUUAUAUUAGAAUUGAAUGAAGCUUUGUUUAUAUAUUGAUAAUGACAGUAUAUAUAUCGUGUCUUGACUAAUUGCGUGCCAGCAGUCGCGGUAAUACGUAAGAGACUAGUGUUAUUCAUCUUAAUUAGGUUUAAAGGGUACCCAGACGGUCAAUAUAGCUUAUAAAAUGUUAGUACUUGACUAGAGUUUUAUGUAAGAGGGCAGUACUUGAGGAGGAGAGAUGAAAUUUCGUGAUACCAAAGGGACUCUGUAAAGGCGAAGGCAGCCCUCUAUGUAAAAACUGACGUUGAAGGACGAAGGCACAGAGAACAAACAGGAUUAGAUACCCAAGUAGUCUUUGCAGUAAAUGAUGAAUGCCAUAGGUUAGAUUGGUCAAUUAUAGUCUAGGGUUAGUCUAGCAAACUAAUACCUAUACUAUUAUACCUAAUAUCUGGUCUAUAAAUGAAAGUGUAAGCAUUUCACCUCAAGAGUAAUGUGGCAACGCAGGAACUGAAAUCACUAGACCGUUUCUGACACCAGUAGUGAAG